rnacentral:rRNA from 1 species
AGUGAACGCUGGCGGUAGGCCUAACACAUGCAAGUCGAACGGCAGCACAGUAAGAGCUUGCUCUUACGGGUGGCGAGUGGCGGACGGGUGAGGAAUACAUCGGAAUCUACUUUUUCGUGGGGGAUAACGUAGGGAAACUUACGCUAAUACCGCAUACGACCUACGGGUGAAAGCAGGGGAUCUUCGGACCUUGCGCGAUUGAAUGAGCCGAUGUCGGAUUAGCUAGUUGGCGGGGUAAAGGCCCACCAAGGCGACGAUCCGUAGCUGGUCUGAGAGGAUGAUCAGCCACACUGGAACUGAGACACGGUCCAGACUCCUACGGGAGGCAGCAGCGGGGAAUAUUGGACAAUGGGCGCAAGCCUGAUCCAGCCAUACCGCGUGGGUGAAGAAGGCCUUCGGGUUGUAAAGCCCUUUUGUCGGGAAAGAAAAGCAGCAGGUUAAUACCCCGCUGUUCUGACGGUACCCAAAGAAUAAGCACCGGCUAACUUCGUG